GACGAACGCUGGCGGCGUGCUUAACACAUGCAAGUCGAACGCUGAAGGCCUGGCUUUUGUUGGGUUGGAUGAGUGGCGAACGGGUGAGUAACACGUGAGUAACCUGCCCUCUUCUUUGGGAUAACGCCCGGAAACGGGUGCUAAUACUGGAUAUUCACUGAUCUUCGCAUGGGGGUUGGUGGAAAGGUUUGUUCUGGUGGGGGAUGGGCUCGCGGCCUAUCAGCUUGUUGGUGGGGUGAUGGCCUACCAAGGCUUUGACGGGUAGCCGGCCUGAGAGGGUGACCGGUCACAUUGGGACUGAGAUACGGCCCAGACUCCUACGGGAGGCAGCAGUGGGGAAUAGUGCACAAUGGGCGAAAGCCUGAUGCAGCGACGCCGCGUGAGGGAUGGAGGCCUUCGGGUUGUAAACCUCUUUCGCUCAUGGUCAAGCCGCAACUGUGGGUUGUGGUGAGGGUAGUGGGUAAAGAAGCGCCGGCUAACUACGUG
rnacentral:rRNA from 1 species